rnacentral:lncRNA from 1 species
UAAGGGCUUAAAACUUGAUGUGUUACUAGAGAGUUUAUGUGGGUGGAGUUUUCUUUGGAUACGAACUUUACUGGAGUUAGCUCUUUCUCUUUCUUUUCAGCUCACAGUUUCAUGUAAACUUAAGUGAAUGAAUUCAUUAAUAAAAGUAGAUUUUCUGUUUUUAUUUCACCUCUGGCCUCUUUUAUACCUUUGGAACACACAGGCACAACAAAAAGGCAUUCUUCAACUUUUGAUGCGGAAAGGAAAAUGCUUCAAGAAGGACUUUGUGAUCCCUCAUUAUUUUGUAAACUGCCUAGGGAUCGAACUCAGGAUCUUGUGCUUGCGAGGCAGGCAGCAGAACCACUGAACUAAAUCCCUGGUCUAUGAAGCAACUCUUAUUGAUCCCAAUGUACAAAUUUCCAUAGUUUAGACACUAAGUCUUUAGUGUCUAAAAAAUGUGAAUUAAAAGGAAAAUAAUUUAACAGUAUGAAAGUGUCA